rnacentral:misc_RNA from 1 species
GUAUUUAAAUUGCUUUUUACGGCAACGAUAUGAUUACAUUCUGAAGACAUACAAAAGUGUGGAUGAAAGACAUGGGCCCGAAAGCCCACAUUAAGUUCACAGGUGUAAAUGGAUUAAUGAGCUCGGGCGUGCACAUGCCUCGGGAGGCCAGCAACAACCCUCGCUUAUAAAUUCGAUAAUGAUCCUUCCGCAGGUUCACCUACGGAAA